UACAGAGACUGCAAGCGUUAUUCGGAUUCACUGGGCGUAAAGGGUGCGCAGGCGGCCGAGUGUGUGAGGCGUGAAAGCCCGGGGCUUAACCCCGGAAUUGCACCUCAAACUACACGGCUAGAGCAUUGGAGAGGGUAGCAGAAUUCAUGGUGUAGCAGUGAAAUGCGUAGAUAUCAGUGGAGAAUACCAGAGGCGAAGGCGGCUACCUGGACAACAUGCUGAC
rnacentral:rRNA from 1 species